GAGGGAGGGAGAGAGAGAGUACUGGAAGAAAUGACUGGAAAAGUGGGUCAUUUCAGGAGCAAGGUAGAAACAUGGUGUAAUGGUAACUUCCUGGAAUAGACAAGGGUGAACCUACUAAGACUCCUAGCAAUGUGAUAUAUGAAAACUGAACAUGCCAUCCUCUGUAACCAGGGACCAGCAACCGAAUCCCACAGCUGAAAAAGAGGCCGGAUAUGUACUUUACAUUGGCAUAAAUAGUAUAAGAAGCCACGUCCAAGUGGGCAUCUAGAUGUCCAGGGUCUCUUGACCUUUUGAAGAUGAAUAUUUUCCUGCAAAGACAAGAAUAGAGCCCUUCCCCAGCCCUAUGAGACUUCCUUACCACCCGUAUGGUU